GACGAACGCUGGCGGCGUGCUUAACACAUGCAAGUCGAGCGGAGCAUUAGCAAUAAUGCUUAGCGGCGGACGGGUGAGUAACACGUGGGUAACCUGCCCUAUAGAGGGGGAUAGCCAACCGAAAGGUUGAUUAAUACCGCAUAACCCAUAUCAAGGACAUCCUUGAUAUGGCAAAGGAGUAAUCCGCUAUAGGAUGGACCCGCGGCCCAUUAGCUAGUUGGUGAGGUAACGGCCCACCAAGGCGACGAUGGGUAGCCGAUCUGAGAGGAUGAACGGCCACAUUGGAACUGAGACACGGUCCAGACUCCUACGGGAGGCAGCAGUGGGGAAUAUUGCGCAAUGGGGGAAACCCUGACGCAGCAACGCCGCGUGAGCGAUGAAGGCCUUCGGGUCGUAAAGCUCUGUCUUCAGGGACGAAAAAUGACGGUACCUGAGGAGGAAGCCACGGCUAACUACGUGCCAGCAGCCGCGGUAAUACGUAGGUGGCGAGCGUUGUCCGGAAUUACUGGGCGUAAAGGGUGCGUAGGCGGAAUCUUAAGUCAGAUGUGAAAUCCCUGGGCUCAACCUGGGAAUUGCAUUUGAAACUGGGGUUCUAGAGUGCAGGAGAGGAAAGCGGAAUUCCUAGUGUAGCGGUGAAAUGCGUAGAUAUUAGGAAGAACACCAGUGGCGAAGGCGGCUUUCUGGACUGUAACUGACGCUGAGGCACGAAAGCGUGGGGAGCAAACAGGAUUAGAUACCCUGGUAGUCCACGCUGUAAACGAUGAGUGCUAGGUGUAGGAGGUAUCGACACCUUCUGUGCCGCAGUAAACGCAAUAAGCACUCCGCCUGGGGAGUACGGUCGCAAGACUA
rnacentral:rRNA from 1 species